rnacentral:rRNA from 1 species
AGAGUUUGAUCCUGGCUCAGGAUGAACGCUGGCGGCGUGCCUAAUACAUGCAAGUCGAGCGAACGGACGAGAAGCUUGCUUCUCUGAUGUUAGCGGCGGACGGGUGAGUAACACGUGGAUAACCUACCUAUAAGACUGGGAUAACUUCGGGAAACCGGAGCUAAUACCGGAUAAUAUUUUGAACCGCAUGGUUCAAAAGUGAAAGACGGUCUUGCUGUCACUUAUAGAUGGAUCCGCGCUGCAUUAGCUAGUUGGUAAGGUAACGGCUUACCAAGGCAACGAUGCAUAGCCGACCUGAGAGGGUGAUCGGCCACACUGGAACUGAGACACGGUCCAGACUCCUACGGGAGGCAGCAGUAGGGAAUCUUCCGCAAUGGGCGAAAGCCUGACGGAGCAACGCCGCGUGAGUGAUGAAGGUCUUCGGAUCGUAAAACUCUGUUAUUAGGGAAGAACAUAUGUGUAAGUAACUGUGCACAUCUUGACGGUACCUAAUCAGAAAGCCACGGCUAACUACGUGCCAGCAGCCGCGGUAAUACGUAGGUGGCAAGCGUUAUCCGGAAUUAUUGGGCGUAAAGCGCGCGUAGGCGGUUUUUUAAGUCUGAUGUGAAAGCCCACGGCUCAACCGUGGAGGGUCAUUGGAAACUGGAAAACUUGAGUGCAGAAGAGGAAAGUGGAAUUCCAUGUGUAGCGGUGAAAUGCGCAGAGAUAUGGAGGAACACCAGUGGCGAAGGCGACUUUCUGGUCUGUAACUGACGCUGAUGUGCGAAAGCGUGGGGAUCAAACAGGAUUAGAUACCCUGGUAGUCCACGCCGUAAACGAUGAGUGCUAAGUGUUAGGGGGUUUCCGCCCCUUAGUGCUGCAGCUAACGCAUUAAGCACUCCGCCUGGGGAGUACGACCGCAAGGUUGAAACUCAAAGGAAUUGACGGGGACCUGCACAAGCGGUGGAGCAUGUGGUUUAAUUCGAAGCAACGCGAAGAACCUUACCAAAUCUUGACAUCCUUUGACAACUCUAGAGAUAGAGCCUUCCCCUUCGGGGGACAAAGUGACAGGUGGUGCAUGGUUGUCGUCAGCUCGUGUCGUGAGAUGUUGGGUUAAGUCCCGCAACGAGCGCAACCCUUAAGCUUAGUUGCCAUCAUUAAGUUGGGCACUCUAAGUUGACUGCCGGUGACAAACCGGAGGAAGGUGGGGAUGACGUCAAAUCAUCAUGCCCCUUAUGAUUUGGGCUACACACGUGCUACAAUGGACAAUACAAAGGGCAGCGAAACCGCGAGGUCAAGCAAAUCCCAUAAAGUUGUUCUCAGUUCGGAUUGUAGUCUGCAACUCGACUACAUGAAGCUGGAAUCGCUAGUAAUCGUAGAUCAGCAUGCUACGGUGAAUACGUUCCCGGGUCUUGUACACACCGCCCGUCACACCACGAGAGUUUGUAACACCCGAAGCCGGUGGAGUAACCUUUUAGGAGCUAGCCGUCGAAGGUGGGACAAAUGAUUGGGGUGAAGUCGUAACAAGGUAGCCGUAUCGGAAGGUGCGGCUGGAUCACCU